rnacentral:rRNA from 1 species
GGGGAAUUUUGGACAAUGGGGGCAACCCUGAUCCAGCAAUGCCGCGUGAGUGAAGAAGGCCUUCGGGUUGUAAAGCUCUUUUGUCAGGGAAGAAAGGGCGACGGCUAAUAUCCGUUGUCGAUGACGGUACCUGAAGAAUAAGCACCGGCUAACUACGUGCCAGCAGCCGCGGUAAUACGUAGGGUGCAAGCGUUAAUCGGAAUUACUGGGCGUAAAGCGUGCGCAGGCGGUUUUGUAAGACUGUCGUGAAAUCCCCGGGCUUAACCUGGGAAUUGCGAUGGUGACUGCAAGGCUAGAGUUAGGCAGAGGGGGGUAGAAUUCCACGUGUAGCAGUGAAAUGCGUAGAGAUGUGGAGGAACACCGAUGGCGAAGGCAGCCCCCUGGGUCAAAACUGACGCUCAUGCACGAAAGCGUGGGGAGCAAAC